GACAAAGCAGGUGGGCCAUGGAGCACAGCCUGUGAUAAUCAAGGGAGAUAAGGCUGAAACCCAUACACAGCAGUUGCUUGGAGGGUACAGCAUCAGGGGGACACCCAGGCAGUCAGAAGAGACGGCUCUGCAACAGAAGCCCUCCUGCAGACUGGCAUGAGGCUCAUGCAGAGGCCCUGCUGCUGUGGUGGCCAUGAGAGGUGGUGGGCAGCACUGCCAGGCUCCAAAAGGACAGGCCGCAGGGGAUUGGGAAACAGCACAGGAGUACAAGGUCUGCGAAGGGUUCUGCCAGAGUCAACAGUCCUCAGUAUAAAGCCAGAGCAGCAUUUGCAUGUCCCUUCGGGUUAUGACCCCCAUGGAAAUAACACCUGGCAUCACUCAUGUGGAGUCCCACCUGGAGCUCUGCUGCAUAUGGUGCUACUGGGGUCCGUAAGUCCUUGGACUGAUCUGCAAAGGGAGGCUGAAUGACAAGGAGGAGGGCUGCUGAAAGCAAGAAAGAGUUGCCAUUGCUACCUCUGGUAGGCUCACUAACAACAGCAAAGGCAGAUUUAGCAAGUCACUGCCGUGGGCCUUCUUAGCAGUUUUGUAAUCUGAUUAAUAAACCCUUAUUGCCAGCUAUGAUUUCUGUGAAUGAUCAUUUCUGCUGGUAGCAGGAGAAAUUCAGAAGGUGCUCAAGCCCUGGCAGAAGAGGCUAGUAGGGCACCCUCCUCAUCAGUUCAUUGGUUUUGGAACACAAUUAAUGCAGGUUUUAUGGGUGAUUAUUUCAAAAUCUGAAUGCUUGAAAUCACUACAAGUUAUAAUAGCACUUUCAAGUGCACUGAUUUUCAUCUGCAAGAAUUUAUUUUAAGCCUCAAACUGUGUACUGCUUUUAAAAAAAUAUCACACAGAAGUUCCUGCACAUGAUUUUAGCUGGAAUCAGUGAGCAGACAUCAUCAGCGAACAUUUUUACUGCCUCAUAUUCAUCCUUCUCAAGCUGCAUAAAUAAUAUUCAAGGGUUCACCUGUUUCAUCAGCUCAAAGACAGACAAAUUUUGGACCUCCAGAAACAGCUAAAUAGGACGAAACCAGUGACUUUUCCCUGCAUAACUGUACGUGGUGGGAUUUUCCAUGUAGAAAUAAUCAGUGAUAAUUUAUGUCUAAACGAUAGUGUUUGCACAUGUUAAAAAUCAGCAUACAAAAUAUUAACCAUUGUUUAUGUCAGAAUCUGCUGAUAAUAAAGUCAUAGACUGAUAAAUGCAAUACAUGCGGAAGUACUUUAUGAGAGUAAAAAAUCAAUUUUCAUUAGCUGCAUUAAGGAAAAAAAAGAAUUGUGAUAAC